AGCAGACCAAAGCAAUGAGCGAAGCUUUAAACAGAGACUACCUAAUCUGUGACGAGAUCGGCCGUGGACGUUUCGGCACCGUUUUCAGAUGUACCUGUCGUGCUACUGGUAACUCUUUCGCCGUCAAGUCUAUCGAUAAGAGCCUUACAUCCGGUGACUCCCUCGACGCCCAAUGCCUCCUCUCCGAACCAAAGAUUCUCCACCUUCUCUCGCCUCAUCCUCACGUAAUCCAACUCUACAACCUCUAUGAAGACGAAUCGUACCUUCACAUGGUAAUGGACUUGUGCUCCGGUCAGGAUCUUCACAAUUUAAUCAUCUCUAAUGGCGUUGUUCCCGAGGCGGAGGCCAGACUGCUCUUUAUACAGCUGAUGAAAGCCGUUUCCCACUGCCACAAGUACGGCGUCGUUCACCGCGACAUCAAGCCGGAUAACAUUUUGCUCGACUCUUUAAAUUCGGUGAAGUUAGCAGAUUUUGGUUCCGCUGAGGUGGUUAUGGAAGGGGAGAUGAUUAAUGGUGUUGUAGGGACGCCGUACUACGUGGCGCCGGAGGUUUUGGUGGGGAGAGAGUACGGGGAGAAGGUAGAUAUUUGGAGUGCUGGUGUGGUGUUGUAUAUUAUGUUAGCCG
rnacentral:misc_RNA from 1 species